GAUGUAUAAGAAUUUGAAUACGUGAUGAGCUGUAUGACAAAAACAGGAUCUAAUAACAGAAUUCAUCCAAGAGAACUAUAUGCCUGGUUUCUUUUUUUUUUCUCUAUAAUUUGAUUAAUUUAUCAACAAAUAACAUUGUUAUGAAGAAGAAAGAAAGACCUUCAUACAGAUUGAUUUGUAUUCAUGUUAUUGUACAGUGCAUUUUUAAAGUCAGUGAAGCUUCCACUCCUACAAUAAUUGUAGAUAAAGACGAGUUUAAUCUAAAUUAUGGAUCAAAACUUGUAAUUGACACAACAAUAUCGACAAGCUCAACAGUUCAUAAAGUUUACUGGAUACGGAACUCAAGUGGAGUCAUAACAACAUUGGAUCAUGGUUUGUCUGGGACAGAUGGUAUAACUGUUGAUAACCCCGCGUUGACUCUUUCAAAGGUUACGGACAUUGAUAAUGGAUUAUACACAUGUAUUGCGGAAAAUGACGAAGGAAUUGGGUUCAGCAAGAUUAUCAACGUGACUGUAAAUGGUGGAGCUCCAUAUGUCGAAGUGGUCAAAACAAGUUACUCGGUGUUGUAUGGAGAUCAUGUAGCGCUGAAAUGCCAAAUCUCAUCUGUUCUUCGAUUGAUUUUUGUGGCAUGGCAAAAGGAAAACAAUGGCGUUCUAACAG